UACGGAGGUGGCAAGCGUUGUUCGGAAUUACUGGGCGUAAAGGGCGCGUAGGCGGCAAGGCAAGUCAGGUGUGAAAGCCCCGAGCUUAACUCGGGAAUUGCAUCUGAAACUGCUGUGCUUGAGUUCUGGAGGGGGUAGUGGAAUUCCCAGUGUAGCGGUGAAAUGCGUAGAUAUUGGGAGGAACACCUGCGGCGAAGGCGGCUACCUGGACAGAAACUGACGCUGAGGCG
rnacentral:rRNA from 1 species